rnacentral:tRNA from 1 species
UCCCCGAUGAUGUAAUGGCAACAUGCCUGACUGUUAAUCAGGUCAUGGUGGUUCGAGUCCACCUCGGGGAG